GUUAGUGACCAAGUGACCCAAUGCUUAAGCCAGGCACCACCGUGGCUCCUUCCACCCUCGGGCGUCCCCUGGCGUCAUUGGGGUUAGCCUUCCCCGAUACCUGCAUUCCGGCCACGCAGGUGCAGUGCGCGUCAAGCAGGGCGGUGUGUCCACAGGGGCAGGGUUCACUUGGGGGCACCGUGGCUUUGGGCUCGUCUGGGUGGGAGAAGGAGUGGCUCUGCCUGUGCCGGUGAGGCCUGGGUCCAGCGGGAGGGCAGGCGGGGCUCAGGCGCCCUCCUGUGUGUCGGGCUCAGGAGAGAAGAUGACGGAGGAGGAGGUGGAGACGGUUCUGGCAGGCCACGAGGACAGCAACGGCUGCAUCAACUACGAGGCCUUCCUGAAGCACAUCCUAAGCGUCUGAGCGCGCAGGUCCCGCGGGCCGGACGCCGCCGCACCCACGGGAGCUCGUUCCUGCCACUAGGGGGCCGCCCGUUGUUCUGAAAUAAAGACACGCUUCCUCCCUC